GACGAACGCUGGCGGCGUGCUUAACACAUGCAAGUCGAACGGAAAGGCCCUGCUGUUGUGGGGUGCUCGAGUGGCGAACGGGUGAGUAACACGUGAGUAACCUGCCCUUGACUUUGGGAUAACUUCUGGAAACUGGGGCUAAUACCGGAUAGGAGCUCCUGCUGCAUGGUGGGGGUUGGAAAGUUUCGGCGGUUGGGGAUGGAAUCGCGGCUUAUCAGCUUGUUGGUGGGGUAGUGGCUUACCAAGGCUUUGACGGGUAGCCGGCCUGAGAGGGUGACCGGCCACAUUGGGACGGAGAUACGGCCCAGACUCCUACGGGAGGCAGCAGAGGGGAAUAUUGCACAAUGGGAGGAAGCCUGAUGCAGCAACGCCGCGUGCGGGAUGACGGCCUUCGGGUUGUAAACCGCUUUCGCCUGUGACGAAGCGUGAGUGACGGUAAUGGGUAAAGAAGCACCGGCUAACUACGUG
rnacentral:rRNA from 1 species